rnacentral:tRNA from 1 species
GCUCAUUUGGUAGAGCAUGGUGUUUGCAACGCCAGGGUUGUGGGUUUGAUUCCCAC